rnacentral:rRNA from 1 species
UUGCUCCCGGGUGGCGAGUGGCGCACGGGUGAGUAAUACAUCGGAACGUGUCCUGUUGUGGGGGAUAACUGCUCGAAAGGGUGGCUAAUACCGCAUGAGACCUGAGGGUGAAAGCGGGGGAUCGCAAGACCUCGCGCAAUUGGAGCGGCCGAUGCCCGAUUAGCUAGUUGGUGAGGUAAAGGCUCACCAAGGCGACGAUCGGUAGCUGGUCUGAGAGGACGACCAGCCACACUGGGACUGAGACACGGCCCAGACUCCUACGGGAGGCAGCAGUGGGGAAUUUUGGACAAUGGGGGCAACCCUGAUCCAGCCAUGCCGCGUGCAGGAUGAAGGCCUUCGGGUUGUAAACUGCUUUUGUCAGGGACGAAAAGGACCGUGUUAAUACCAUGGUCUGCUGACGGUACCUGAAGAAUAAGCACCGGCUAACUACGUGCCAG